UACGGAGGGUGCGAGCGUUAUUCGGAAUUACUGGGCGUAAAGCGCGUGUAGGCGGGGGUACAAGUCUGAUGUGAAAGCCCUGGGCUUAACCUGGGAAGUGCAUUGGAAACGGUAUCUCUUGAGUACUGGAGAGGAAGGGGGAAUUCCCGGUGUAGAGGUGAAAUUCGUAGAGAUCGGGAGGAAUACCAGUGGCGUAGGCGCCUUUCUGGACGGUUACUGACGCUGAGACGCGAAAGCGUGGGGAGCAAAC
rnacentral:rRNA from 1 species